rnacentral:RNase_P_RNA from 1 species
GGGGCAGAUCGGGUAGUCGCGGUAAUUUUUUAUCGAGGAAGGUCCGGACUCCACAGGGCAGGGUAGCGGCUAACAGCCGUCCGGUAACGAUAGCUGCUUCGGCGGUUGUAAUAACCGAGGAACAGGGCCACAGAGACGAGUCUGUUACGUGGGCGUGUUUCGGCGCGCACUGACACGGUGAAUCCGUGUGGCGUACCUUGUAUUGCAAGGUACAACGUAGCAGGGUGAAACGCGGUAACCUCUAUCCGGAGCAACACCAAAUAGGCAUGCGCAUGGCCUUUGCGGCUAUACGGGCGGCCCGUCCGUGCAUGCGGGUAGGUGGCUAGAGUUGGUUAGUAAUAGCCAACCCAGAGGAAUGAUUGCCCAUCGAUAUUCUCGAUGUACAGAAUCCGGCCUAUAGAUCUGUUCCGCAU